GGGUAAGUGGCGAAAUUGGCACACGCAACGGCAAUUUUUAUACACAUGUGUUUAGUUGACAAACACAUACAGCAAUUUAUUCAAGUAGAAGAAAUCAGGAAGCCGUGUCUUGCAGGUUCGAGUCCUGUCUUACCCG
rnacentral:tRNA from 1 species